GGGCGGGUUAGUUGGGGGUUUUCUUUCUUUCUGAAAAUAUAUAAAAGUAACAGGUAUAAGAUGUUAUUUGUACAUCUUGUUACAGAAAAAGAAGAGAACUUUUGUGUGUUUUUGUCAUGAUUAGUAUCUGUUUAUCCUUUCUACAAGAUGUACAGUUGUUGUGAACCGUAAAGCAAAUUGGCAGAUACUAUUCAUGAAUUGUAAAAUUUAGUGGGGAUGCUCAAAAAACAGAGCUUGUUUCGUGAAAGAUGUCUUAGGUCUGCCCCACAUGUAGCACAAAAGUGUAAUUUAUUAUUAGCCUUCAAAAUGCUUCAGAUUGAUGAACCAUUAUUUUUUUAAUGAUACUUUAUAUUCUUGAUCCAUCAAA
rnacentral:misc_RNA from 1 species